CAGGGUGUCCUGAAGAAUUUGAAUUUCUGAUAAACAAUGAAUAUUCUUUUAUUUUAAGAUGUCUCUGGCAAUAUUUGGGACAUACUUGUGCAAAAUAUUAUGCAUUGCCUAUCUAAAAUUCAAAUUGAGCUGGGGGUCCCGUA
rnacentral:miRNA from 1 species